rnacentral:rRNA from 1 species
AACGUAGGGGACGAGCGUUAUCCGGAUUUACUGGGCGUAAAGAGCCCGUAGGCAGCUUAGCAAGUUGGACGUGAAAGCUCCCGGCUUAACUGGGAGAGGCCGUACAAAACUGCCAAGCUAGAGGUUGGAAGAGGAGAGCAGAAUUCCCGGUGUAGUGGUGGAAUGCGUAGAUAUCGGGAGGAAUACCAGUGGCGAAAGCGGCUCUCGGGUCCAGACCUGACGCUGAGGGGCGAAAGCGUGGGGAGCGAACGGG